UUAUCGGAGAGUUUGAUCCUGGCUCAGGACGAACGCUGGCGGCGUGCCUAAUACAUGCAAGUCGAGCGGACAGAUGGGAGCUUGCUCCCUGAUGU
rnacentral:rRNA from 1 species